rnacentral:misc_RNA from 1 species
GAAAUGCGAUACGUAUUGUGAAUUGCAGAUCAGUGAACCAUCGAAUCUUUGAACGCACCUUGCGGCCGCCGGCACUCCGGCGGCCACGCCCGUUCGAGCGUCAUCUCAACCCUCGGGCCUUGUGCCUGGCAUUGGGCACCCAGGCUAGCCUGGAGCCUUAAUCACAGUGGCGGUAGCGUUUUGUAGGCUCUGCGUAGUAUAGCUCUCGUAGUGGCCCCAGGCGCGCCCUGUCUACCCUCUCUCGUUUGACCUCGAAUCGGGUGGGAGUACCCGCUGAACUUAA